rnacentral:rRNA from 1 species
UACGUAGGGCGCAAGCGUUGUCCGGAAUUAUUGGGCGUAAAGAGCUCGUAGGCGGCUUGUCACGUCGGAUGUGAAAGCCCGGGGCUUAACCCCGGGUCUGCAUUCGAUACGGGCAGGCUAGAGUGUGGUAGGGGAGAUCGGAAUUCCUGGUGUAGCGGUGAAAUGCGCAGAUAUCAGGAGGAACACCGGUGGCGAAGGCGGCUCACUGGACCGGUUCUGACGCUGAAGCGCGAAAGCGUGGGGAGCAAACGGG